rnacentral:tRNA from 2 species
GGGAUUGUAGCUCAUAGGAUUAGAGCACGUAGCUACAAACCACAAUGUCAGGGGUUUGAAUCCCUCCUCAUCCA